rnacentral:rRNA from 1 species
GGUAACAGGAAGCAGCUUGCUGCUUCGCUGACGAGUGGCGGACGGGUGAGUAAUGUCUGGGAAACUGCCUGAUGGAGGGGGAUAACUACUGGAAACGGUAGCUAAUACCGCAUAACGUCGCAAGACCAAAGAGGGGGACCUUCGGGCCUCUUGCCAUCGGAUGUGCCCAGAUGGGAUUAGCUAGUAGGUGGGGUAACGGCUCACCUAGGCGACGAUCCCUAGCUGGUCUGAGAGGAUGACCAGCCACACUGGAACUGAGACACGGUCCAGACUCCUACGGGAGGCAGCAGUGGGGAAUAUUGCACAAUGGGCGCAAGCCUGAUGCAGCCAUGCCGCGUGUAUGAAGAAGGCCUUCGGGUUGUAAAGUACUUUCAGCGGGGAGGAAGGCGAUAAGGUUAAUAACCUUGUCGAUUGACGUUACCCGCAGAAGAAGCACCGGCUAACUCCGUGCCAGCAGCCGCGGUAAUACGGAGGGUGCAAGCGUUAAUCGGAAUUACUGGGCGUAAAGCGCACGCAGGCGGUCUGUCAAGUCGGAUGUGAAAUCCCCGGGCUCAACCUGGGAACUGCAUUCGAAACUGGCAGGCUAGAGUCUUGUAGAGGGGGGUAGAAUUUCCAGGUGUAGCGGUGAAAUGCGUAGAGAUCUGGAGGAAUACCGGUGGCGAAGGCGGCCCCUGGACAAAGACUGACGCUCAGGUGCGAAAGCGUGGGGAGCAAACAGGAUUAGAUACCUGGUAGUCACGCCGUAAACGAUGUCGACUUGGAGGUUGUGCCCUUGAGGCGUGGCUUCCGGAGCUAACGCGUUAAGUCGACCGCCUGGGGAGUACGGCCGCAAGGUUAAAACUCAAAUGAAUUGACGGGGGCCCGCACAAGCGGUGGAGCAUGUGGUUUAAUUCGAUGCAACGCGAAGAACCUUACCUACUCUUGACAUCCAGAGAACUUUCCAGAGAUGGAUUGGUGCCUUCGGGAACUCUGAGACAGGUGCUGCAUGGCUGUCGUCAGCUCGUGUUGUGAAAUGUUGGGUUAAGUCCCGCAACGAGCGCAACCCUUAUCCUUUGUUGCCAGCGGUUAGGCCGGGAACUCAAAGGAGACUGCCAGUGAUAAACUGGAGGAAGGUGGGGAUGACGUCAAGUCAUCAUGGCCCUUACGAGUAGGGCUACACACGUGCUACAAUGGCGCAUACAAAGAGAAGCGACCUCGCGAGAGCAAGCGGACCUCAUAAAGUGCGUCGUAGUCCGGAUUGGAGUCUGCAACUCGACUCCAUGAAGUCGGAAUCGCUAGUAAUCGUGGAUCAGAAUGCCACGGUGAAUACGUUCCCGGGCCUUGUACACACCGCCCGUCACACCAUGGGAGUGGGUUGCAAAAGAAGUAGGUAGCUUAACCUUCGGGAGGGCGCUACCAC